rnacentral:rRNA from 1 species
AUUGAACGCUGGCGGCAGGCCUAACACAUGCAAGUCGAACGAGUGGCGGACGGGUGAGUAAUGUCUGGGAAACUGCCUGAUGGCGGGGGAUAACUACUGGAAACAGUAGCUAAUAACGCAUACCAGCGGAUGUGCCCAGAUGGGAUUAGCUAGUAGGUGGGGUAAAGGCGCACCUAGGCGACGAUCCCUAGCUGGUCUGAGAGGAUGACCAGCCACACGGGAACUGAGACACGGGCCAGACUCCUACGGGAGGCAGCAGUGGGGAAUAUUGCACAAUGGGGGCAAGCCUGAUGCAGCCAUGCCGCGUGUAUGAAGAAGGCCUUCGGGUUGUAAAGUACUUUCAGCGGGGAGGCGUUACUCGCAGAAGAAGCACCGGCUAACUCCGUGCCAGCAGCCGCGGUAAUUC